rnacentral:rRNA from 1 species
UACAGAGGUCCCAAGCGUUGUUCGGAUUCAUUGGGCGUAAAGGGUGCGUAGGUGGCGCGCUAAGUCAGGUGUGAAAUUUCGGAGCUUAACUCCGAAACUGCAUUUGAUACUGGCGUGCUUGAGGACUGGAGAGGAGACUGGAAUUUACGGUGUAGCGGUGAAAUGCGUAGAUAUCGUAAGGAAGACCAGUGGCGAAGGCGGGUCUCUGGACAGUUCCUGACGCUGAGGCACGAAGGUCAGGGGAGCAAACGGG